GGGCCUCUCGGUUUCCAUUACCGAAUUCACUUCAUUCCAGAGUCUGAAUAAAACCACUUUUUUCUCUCUUGUGCUUUAGGGGGGCAAGAAAGCCCCUCUCGGCCCCUCCGGGUCUCCUCUCAGGUUAAUACCAGGGACAGGUUUCGGUGUCUGCGACGCCUACGGGGUGGGCCCACACUGAAAAUCCCUGCGACAUUGGCCUGUGUGAAUCAUGGGCACCUUGGAAAGGCCUCAAAAUGCGGCCGACAUAGUGAAGUGUCACCCUUAACCAGCUGAGGCAGGACUGGUCGAGGUCAGUUAAUUAGGUACCCACUAAUCUCAAGAAGUCUGCGGGCACAAUUUUCUGAUACUUCUCGUUGCUGUGCAAAGAGCUGAAGCAACUGUCCUCGCGGAAAGGAUUUGAGGAAUGAUUUGCAAGAUUGCUACAAUUGGAAAGAGACAUUCUUCAGUUUGACUGCUGAAAUGAAGGAAGGAAGGCUGCAGUUUCUUAUUGCCUCCUUAUCAUCAUGAGGAAAAAGCCAGCCCAAGAAUGAAGCCACAUGGGAGGGAAGCAGAGCCAAUAGGUCACAAACACAAGACCAAGCCCUGAUGACAUUGUCUGUGCUCCUUGAUCCAGCACAUGUUGGCACCUUUUGAAAGAUCCGGAAAUCCACAUGUUGAACAUGAAGCUAGGACUGUGGUUGCUGCAAAGGUAGAAAGACUGAAAAUACUAGGGUCUUAGAAUUAACUGGAGAAAGGACGGUGGUUUUGGACAACAUUAGACAAUGAGUUCCUACCAAGAAUGAUUAUGAUAUAAUAUAUGGUUAUUGUAUAAUAUAACUGUUAUUACCAUCUUCUUAUCAUUACAUAAUUAUUAUUUCAUCAACAACUAACUUAUUGACCAUCUACCAUGUGCUGGUGUUGCACUUAGUACAUGUCAUUUAAUCUUUACAGCAGCUUUAUUGUAGAUGUUAUUAUUCUUCCCAUUUUAUGGAUGAGUAAAUUAAGGUUAGAGGGGUAGAUAACUUGUCCAAGGUAACACAGAUAAAUAUAAUAGAAUUGAAAUUAGAAAUCAGUUUUUUUAAUCCUAGAUAUCAUGUUCUUAAUCAUUUUAUUAUUCUGAUUAUUUGAAGUUUCAAGCAGUCUAACUACCUUGUUGAUGGGGCAUGAAAAUGGGUAGUCUGUUCCCCUAGCUAAGCAUCUGUAGGUAGCAGAGCAUCUGCAGAAAGUGGAAACAGCUAAGAAGGUGUUAACUUAUAGCUGAUGAAGGACUGUAUGGUCACCGUGGAUAUAGGCAAAGUUUCUAAUAGGCUCAUGAUUAGGGAAAAAGCGUGAGUCCAAUUAACUUCGGAACUCCUAAAAGUGGGAAGCAACCAGCAUUUGAAAAAAGUCAAGAGGAAGAACUGGUAAAAUUUAGGCCCAGUUCUAUUAGGUUGUAUCUGAUUAGAGCUGAGAAAAUUAAGAACAGAAGAGUAAUGGUAGAUUUUUAGUCCUACAAUGGAUGUUUUCUCUUAGAAUAAAUGUCUCACUCACAUGAAGUAGAAGAACUAUUUAGAGCAAUUUGAAAAAUAACCUCCUCCAGAGAAUUUGAUGGGUCUUUCUGUUCUUCUCACUUGAGAGGGGACUUAAGUCCCAUCCCAACAGGAAUGUCUCAAGCCUUUUGCUUUAUUGAUAUACAGGACAAGUUUGGGAGUAGGAGUUGUUUCAGCAGAAGAUAAAACAAUUUUAGGUGGAUUUAAUGGCUUUUUCUUCUGGGUUGCCAUUAGCACCUGUAUUACUCAGGUCCUCAUUUUACUCUGCCUUGCCUUACAGUCAGCUGUUGACACAGUCAUUCCCCAAACACUGGGCACGCCUUGAGGAUGCGGCCUCAAGGUGUGAUAAAUACACCAUAAUGUAUUUAGCUGCAAUUCUAAAUAAAAUUUUCCUAAUUCUAAAUAAAG